rnacentral:rRNA from 1 species
UACGGGGGGAGCAAGCGUUGUUCGGAUUUACUGGGCGUAAAGGGCGCGUAGGCGGCCAGUGCAAGUCAGUUGUGAAAUCUCCGGGCUUAACUCGGAAAGGUCAAGUGAUACUGUCGGACUAGAGUACAGAAGGGGCAACUGGAAUUCUUGGUGUAGCGGUGAAAUGCGUAGAUAUCAAGAGGAACACCUGAGGUGAAGACGGGUUGCUGGGCUGACACUGACGCUGAGGCGCGAAAGCCAGGGGAGCAAACGGG